AACUUGCUAAGCAAAUGCCAAAAUAAAAAGCCCUCAACUUUUCUCCUGAAAAUACAAUGAGACCAUGUUAGUUCCAGCAGGGAGUCACAGAGGAUGAAGAGGUGCAGUGCAAGAGCCAGAAAGCAAGCCUGAAAAUUUUCACCUCUCGCUACCUCACCAGCUGAAGGACUGGUGUUAUUGAUGAGCUUGUUGGCAGUGGGAAAGACAGUGUCACCCUUCAGUCUUCCACUUCCAGCAGCAACCCUGCCAUACUGGGUUUCUUUCUUGCCUUCAGAUUGCUUGUGAGCCUUUUAAAGGGGAAUUACUUUAGGCCCUUGUUAAAGAGCACUGACUACUGACCAUGGCUGCAGCUGAUAGAGGAUGUCAGACUGAUAUGCAGUUGCUCUUACUCUACCAGAGUGCCCAGCUCAAGUGUCUUCUUCAUAUUAAAUCAAGCUUCAGAUGUGAGGUCAAUGAAGCGUUUUCCUCAAAUCAGAUUGGUACAAGCUAUUAGAUUUGUCUUCUUUUCCUCAACAGGUUUGAAUUAUCUAAAAUAAUUAGAGAAUUUUGUCCCUCCUAUCCCCAACUACAAGUGAAUGAGUCCAAAAGCAAAAUAUUUGGGAAAUUAGUUCUUAUUUACAAAGAUGAAGUAAUGAAGUUCUUUUUCUGUCAUUAUAAAAGCUGUCCACAUGCAUGUCUGUAAAAGUACUUCACACAGAGCUAUUUAUGUUGUUAUGCUUUUAAAUAAAAU